UUGCAAGUGAAAAUACCUCAUUCCUUUAGGAGCAGGAAUACAUUCAUAGAUGCUGCAAUAAAAAAGGAGUUCUCAGAGAUCCCGAUCUUACAGUGGAGGUUGAAUAGUAGUAUAUUUUUCCAGCAUAA